AUUGAACGCUGGCGGCAUGCCUUACACAUGCAAGUCGAACGGCAGCACGGGAGCAAUCCUGGUGGCGAGUGGCGAACGGGUGAGUAAUGCGUCGGAACGUGCCGAGUAGUGGGGGAUAACGCAGCGAAAGUUGUGCUAAUACCGCAUACGUACUGAGGUAGAAAGUGGGGGACCUUCGGGCCUCACGCUAUUCGAGCGGCCGACGUCUGAUUAGCUAGUAGGUGAGGUAAAGGUUCACCUAGGCGACGAUCAGUAGCGGGUCUGAGAGGACGACCCGCCACACUGGGACCGAGACACGGCCCAGACUCCUAGGGGAGGCAGCAGUGGGGAAUUUUGGACAAUGGGCGAAAGCCUGAUCCAGCCAUGCCGCGUGUCUGAAGAAGGCCUUCGGGUUGUAAAGGACUUUUGUCAGGGAGGAAAUCCCUAGUGCUAAUAACACUGGGGGAUGACAGUACCUGAAGAAUAAGCACCGGCUAACUACGUGCCAGCCGCCGCUGUAA
rnacentral:rRNA from 1 species